rnacentral:rRNA from 1 species
CAAAGGAGCAAUCCGCUGAAAGAUGGGCUCGCGUCCGAUUAGAUAGUUGGCGGGGUAACGGCCCACCAAGUCGACGAUCGGUAGCCGGACUGAGAGGUUGAACGGCCACAUUGGGACUGAGACACGGCCCAGACUCCUACGGGAGGCAGCAGUGAGGGAUAUUGGUCAAUGGGGGAAACCCUGAACCAGCAACGCCGCGUGAGGGAAGACGGUUUUCGGAUUGUAAACCUCUGUCCUCUGUGAAGAUAAUGACGGUAGCAGAGGAGGAAGCUCCGGCUAACUACGUGCCAGCAGCCGCGGUAAUACGUAGGGAGCAAGCGUUGUCCGGAUUUACUGGGUGUAAAGGGUGCGUAGGCGGCCUUGCAAGUCAGAAGUGAAAUCCAUGGGCUUAACCCGUGAACUGCUUUUGAAACUGUAGGGCUUGAGUGAAGUAGAGGCAGGCGGAAUUCCCGGUGUAGCGGUGAAAUGCGUAGAGAUCGGGAGGAACACCAGUGGCGAAGGCGGCCUGCUGGGCUUUAACUGACGCUGAAGCACGAAAGCGUGGGUAGCAAACAGGAUUAGAUACCCUGGUAGUCCACGCCGUAAACGAUGAUUACU